AUUGAACGCUGGCGGCAGGCCUAACACAUGCAAGUCGAGCGGAUGAAGGGAGCUUGCUCCUGGAUUCAGCGGCGGACGGGUGAGUAAUGCCUAGGAAUCUGCCUGGUAGUGGGGGAUAACGUCCGGAAACGGGCGCUAAUACCGCAUACGUCCUGAGGGAGAAAGUGGGGGAUCUUCGGACCUCACGCUAUCAGAUGAGCCUAGGUCGGAUUAGCCAGUUGGUGGGGUAAAGGCCUACCAAGGCGACGAUCCGUAACUGGUCUGAGAGGAUGAUCAGUCACACUGGAACUGAGACACGGUCCAGACUCCUACGGGAGGCAGCAGUGGGGAAUAUUGGACAAUGGGCGAAAGCCUGAUCCAGCCAUGCCGCGUGUGUGAAGAAGGUCCUCGGAUUGUAAAGCACUUUAAGUUGGGAGGAAGGGCAGUAAGUUAAUACCUUGCUGUUUUGACGUUACCAACAGAAUAAGCACCGGCUAACUUCGUG
rnacentral:rRNA from 1 species